rnacentral:rRNA from 1 species
GACGAACGCUUGCGGCGUGCUUAACACAUGCAAGUCGAACGGAAAGGCCCUGCUUUUGUGGGGUGCUCGAGUGGCGAACGGGUGAGUAACACGUGAGUAACCUGCCCUUGACUUUGGGAUAACUUCAGGAAACUGGGGCUAAUACCGGAUAGGAGCUCCUGCUGCAUGGUGGGGGUUGGAAAGUUUCGGCGGUUGGGGAUGGACUCGCGGCUUAUCAGCUUGUUGGUGGGGUAGUGGCUUACCAAGGCUUUGACGGGUAGCCGGCCUGAGAGGGUGACCGGCCACAUUGGGACUGAGAUACGGCCCAGACUCCUACGGGAGGCAGCAGUGGGGAAUAUUGCACAAUGGGCGGAAGCCUGAUGCAGCAACGCCGCGUGCGGGAUGACGGCCUUCGGGUUGUAAACCGCUUCCGCCUGUGACGAAGCGUGAGUGACGGUAAUGGGUAAAGAAGCACCGGCUAACUACGUGCCAGCGGCCGCGGUGAUACGUAGGGUGCGAGCGUUGUCCGGAUUUAUUGGGCGUAAAGGGCUCGUAGGUGGUUGAUCGCGUCGGAAGUGUAAUCUUGGGGCUUAACCCUGAGCGUGCUUUCGAUACGGGUUGACUUGAGGAAGGUAGGGGAGAAUGGAAUUCCUGGUGGAGCGGUGGAAUGCGCAGAUAUCAGGAGGAACACCAGUGGCGAAGGCGGUUCUCUGGGCCUUUCCUGACGCUGAGGAGCGAAAGCGUGGGGAGCGAACAGGCUUAGAUACCCUGGUAGUCCACGCUGUAAACGGUGGGUACUAGGUGUGGGGUCCAUUCCACGGGUUCCGUGCCGUAGCUAACGCUUUAAGUACCCCGCCUGGGGAGUACGGCCGCAAGGCUAAAACUCAAAGGAAUUGACGGGGCCCCGCACAAGCGGCGGAGCAUGCGGAUUAAUUCGAUGCAACGCGUAGAACCUUACCUGGGUUUGACAUGGAUCGGGAGUGCUCAGAGAUGGGUGUGCCUCUUUUGGGGUCGGUUCACAGGUGGUGCAUGCCUGUCGUCAGCUCGUGUCGUGAGAUGUUGGGUUAAGUCCCGCAACGAGCGCAACCCUUGUUCACUGUUGCCAGCACGUUAUGGUGGGGACUCAGUGGAGACCGCCGGGGUCAACUCGGAGGAAGGUGGGGAUGACGUCAAGUCCUCAUGCCCCUUAUGUCCAGGGCUUCACGCAUGCUACAACGGCUGGUACAGAGAGUGGCGAGCCUGUGAGGGUGAGCGAAUCUCGGAAAGCCGGUCUCAGUUCGGAUUGGGGUCUGCAACUCGACCUCAUGAAGUCGGAGUCGCUAGUAAUCGCAGAUCAGCAACGCUGCGGUGAAUACGUUCCCGGG